UCAGAGUUUGAUAUGCUCAGGAUGAACGCUAGCUACAGGCUUAACACAUGCAAGUCGAGGGGAAACGACAUCGAAAGCUUGCUUUUGAUGGGCGUCGACCGGCGCACGGGUGAGUAACGCGUAUCCAACCUGCCCACCACUUGGGGAUAACCUUGCGAAAGUAAGACUAAUACCCAAUGACGUCUCUAGAAGACAUCUGAAGGAGAUUAAAGAUUUAUCGGUGAUGGAUGGGGAUGCGUCUGAUUAGCUUGUUGGCGGGGUAACGGCCACCAAGGCGACGAUCAGUAGGGGUUCUGAGAGGAAGGUCCCCCACAUUGGAACUGAGACACAGUCCAAACUCCUACGGGAGGCA
rnacentral:rRNA from 1 species